rnacentral:rRNA from 1 species
AGUGAACGCUGGCGGCGUGUCUACUACAUGCAAGUCGAAUGAAGUGGCGCACGGGUGAGUAAUAUAUAGUUAAUCUGCCCUAAACAGAGGAACAACAGUUGGAAACGACUGAUAAUACCUCAUAGUGUCGGAUAAGACUAUAUCGUAUCAGCUAGUUGGUAAGGUAAUGGCUUACCAAGGCUAUGACGCGUAACUGGUCUGAGAGGAUGAUCAGUCACAGUGGAACUGAGACACGGUCCAAACUCCGACGGGAUGCAGCAGUAAGGAAUAUUGCGCAAUGGGGGAAACCCUGACGCAGCAACGCCGCGAGUGGGUUGACACUUUUCUGAGCGUAAACUCCUUUUAUCAUGAAAGCGGUACCUAAUGAGUAAACACCGGCUAACUACGUGCCAGCAGCCGCGGUAAUAC